rnacentral:rRNA from 1 species
GCGUUGUCCGGAUUUAUUGGGCGUAAAGCGCUCGCAGGUGGUUUGUCGCGUCGUGCGUGAAAGACCCCGGCUCAACUGGGGAGGGUCGUGCGAUACGGGCGAACUGGAGGCCAGUAGGGGGAUGCGGAAUUCCGGGUGUAGUGGUGGAAUGCGUAGAGAUCCGGAGGAACACCAGCGGCGAAGGCGGCAUCCUGGACUGGUCCUGACACUCAGGAGCGAAAGCGUGGGGAGCGAGCCGG